rnacentral:rRNA from 1 species
CGUCAAAUCAUCAUGCCCCUUAUGACCUGGGCUACACACGUGCUACAAUGGCCGGUACAACGGGCAGCGAAGGUGCGAGCCUGAGCGAAUCCCUGAAAGCCGGUCUCAGUUCGGAUUGCAGGCUGCAACUCGCCUGCAUGAAGUCGGAAUUGCUAGUAAUCGCGGAUCAGCAUGCCGCGGUGAAUACGUUCCCGGGUCUU